GAUGAACGCUGGCGGCGUGCCUAAUACAUGCAAGUCGAGCGAAUGGAUUAAGAGCUUGCUCUUAUGAAGUUAGCGGCGGACGGGUGAGUAACACGUGGGUAACCUGCCCAUAAGACUGGGAUAACUCCGGGAAACCGGGGCUAAUACCGGAUAAUAUUUUGAACUGCAUGGUUCAAAAUUGAAAGGCGGCUUCGGCUGUCACUGAUGGAUGGACCCGCGUCGCAUUAGCUAGUGGGUGAGGUAACGGCUCACCAAGGCAACGAUGCGUAGCCGACCGGAGAGGGUGAUCGGCCACACUGGGACUGAGACACGGCCCAGACUCCUACGGGAGGCAGCAGUAGGGAAUCUUCCGCAAUGGACGAAAGUCUGACGGAGCAACGCCGCGUGAGUGAUGAAGGCUUUCGGGUCGUAAAACUCUGUUGUUAGGGAAGAACAAGUGCUAGUUGAAUAAGCUGGCACCUUGACGGUACCUAACCAGAAAGCCACGGCUAACUACGUGCCAGCAGCCGCCGUAA
rnacentral:rRNA from 1 species